GCGUUUAUGGUGAAGCCUGGUUAACACAACUGACUGUGAAUCAGCCAUGCGUGGGUUCAAAUCCCACUAAACGCCCCA
rnacentral:tRNA from 1 species